AGUUCGGAUUGUAGUCUGCAACCCGACUACAUGAAGCUGGAAUCGCUAGUAAUCGCGGAUCAGAAUGCCGCGGUGAAUACGUUCCCGGGUCUUGUACACACCGCCCGUCACACCAUGGGAGUUGGAAGCGCCCGAAGUCUGUGACCUAACCGUAAGGGAGGAGCAGCCGAAGGUGAAGCCAGUGACUGGGGUGAAGUCGUAACAAGGUAGC
rnacentral:rRNA from 1 species